AUACGUAGGGGGCGAGCGUUGUCCGGAAUGAUUGGGCGUAAAGGGCGCGUAGGCGGCCCGGUAAGUCUGGAGUGAAAGUCCUGUUUUUAAGAUGGGAAUUGCUUUGGAUACUGUCGGGCUUGAGUGCAGGUGAGGUAAGUGGAAUUCCCCGUGUAGCGGUGAAAUGCGUAGAGAUUGGGAGGAACACCAGUGGCGAAGGCGACUUACUGGACUGUAACUGACGCUGAGGCGCGAAAGUGUGGGGAGCAAACAGGAUUAGAUACCCUGGUAGUCCACACUGUAAACGAAGAAUGCUAGGUGUAGGGGGUAUCGACCCCUUCUGUGCCGCAGUCAACACAAUAAGCAUUCCGCCUGGGGAGUACGGCCGCAAGGUUGAAACUCAAAGGAAUUGGCGGG
rnacentral:rRNA from 1 species